rnacentral:tRNA from 1 species
GUGCCAUUAGCUCAGCUGGAAGAGCACUUGACUUUUAAUCAAGGCGUCAUGGGUUCGAGUCCCAUAUGGCACA